rnacentral:rRNA from 1 species
AACGAACGCUGGCGGCAUGCCUAACACAUGCAAGUCGAACGAGACCUUCGGGUCUAGUGGCGCACGGGUGCGUAACGCGUGGGAACCUGCCCUUAGGUUCGGAAUAACUCCCCGAAAGGGGUGCUAAUACCGGAUAAUGUCUUCGGACCAAAGAUUUAUCGCCUUUGGAUGGGCCCGCGUUGGAUUAGCUAGUUGGUAGGGUAAAAGCCUACCAAGGCGACGAUCCAUAGCUGGUCUGAGAGGAUGAUCAGCCACACUGGGACUGAGACACGGCCCAGACCCUUCGGGGAGGCAGCAGGGGGGAAAAUGGGACAAGGGGCGAAAGCCUGAUCCAGCAAGGCCGGGUGGGUGAUGAAGGCCUUGGGGUUGUAAAGCUCUUUUACCCGGGAUGAUAAUGACAGUCCCGGGAGAAAAAGCCCCGGCUAACUCCGG